GGAUGUGAGAGCGAUCUGGCUGCGACAUCUGUCACUCCACUGCUGGCCUGGGUUGAUUUGGCUGACCUGGCUGGCAGGGCGGGUGUCCUCUUCCUCCCUCACCAUUCCACGUGCAUCCCUCCCAAAGCUGCAUGCUUGGUGGAAGAGGAUGACCACCCCAUAGAGGAGGACCAUUUCCUCCAUCAAGGGUGUCUGGGUAGCUGCACUCCCCUGCUAGAACCUCCAAACAGCUCUCAAAAUAACAUCCCAAAAAUGCUUAUCUAGGAAGAAUUUAAUAAAAGGUAUGUAAAAGAGCUAUACAU
rnacentral:snRNA from 1 species